UACGUAGGGGGCAAGCGUUGUCCGGAUUUAUUGGGCGUAAAGAGCGUGUAGGCGGCCUGACAGGUCUGCUGUGAAAACUCGAGGCUCAACCUCGAGACGCCGGCGGAAACCAUCAGGCUAGAGUCCGGAAGAGGAGAGUGGAAUUCCUGGUGUAGCGGUGAAAUGCGCAGAUAUCAGGAAGAACACCCGUGGCUAAGGCGGCUCUCUAGUACGGUACUGACGCUGAGGCACGAAAGCGUGGGGAGCAAACAGG
rnacentral:rRNA from 1 species